UGGUGUUCUUUGGUCCCAUCAACUACUCUUUCAUGGCAGUAACGAUUCUGGAUUGGGGAUCAACAGAAGGGGCUGAGCUUGAGUUAAGAUUGGGAGGCCAGGGUAUAAGGUCUCAAAGCAAUUUGAUCCAGAGACAAAACAACGGUCUCUUCUGUUUCAGCCAACCCUUUGUUUCAAAGUAUUUUGAUGUUAUUGAUCCUUCAAGGACGAACAACAAUCUUUGACAAAGUUUCAGAACAAGUAAGCGAUUGGUGGUUUGGAUGUCAAUGAGUGGAACGGUAGAAGGGUCGUCUCUGAACCCAAAUGCCCUACACUCUGUUCUGCAGCAGUUGCGGGAGUCAGUGCAGGCAUUGUUGGAACACUUCCAUCAGUGGAGGCAACAAGAUAUGGCUGGCAAAGACUUGUUUGAGACUGCCUCUAUGGAGGCUUUAGUCAUGAACCUGAGCACCAAAUCUCCGAAAAAAGGCGUGAGGCCGGGUAAAUAUCGUGAAAAACCUAUCCAAUGCGUAAGGCCAAAGUGUACUCCUCGCCGCAUCAUUCUUCGAGGCCGACUAGCUAUUUUGUGCUUUUUUUGUUUUAAAUUCGAAUGUCACUAUACUUUGAAACAGAACUAUUUAGUCUUUGUGUAUAGUUGAAUUCUCCUGUAAAUACUAAUACUUUGUAAUUGAAUUCUAUUGUUUUGGUA